rnacentral:rRNA from 1 species
GAUGAACGCUAGCGGCAGGCUUAAUACAUGCAAGUCGAGGGGCAGCAUGAUUGUAGCAAUACAAUUGAUGGCGACCGGCAAACGGGUGCGGAACACGUACACAACCUCCCAAUAAGUGGGGAAUAGCCAAGAGAAAUUUGGAUUAAUACUCCGUAACAUAACGAUGUGGCAUCACAUUGUUAUUAUAGAUUUUUCGCUUAUUGAUGGGUGUGCGGCUGAUUAGAUAGUUGGCGGGGUAACGGCCCACCAAGUCUACGAUCAGUAGCUGAUGUGAAGGCAUGGUCGGCCAGACGGGCACUGAGACACGGGCCCGAAUCCUACGGGAGGCAGCAGUAAGGAAUAUUGGACAAGGGACGCAAGGCUGAUCCAGCCAUGCCGCGUGAAGGAUUAAGGUCCUCUGGAUUGUAAACUUCUUUUAUAAGGGACGAAAAAAGGCUUUUCUAAGUCGUCUGACGGUACCUUAUGAAUAAGCACCGGCUAACUCCGUGCCAGCCGCCGCAGUAACAC